rnacentral:SRP_RNA from 1 species
AAGUGGACUAGGUCGGGCAGUUAGGCCCUGCUCUCCCACCCGCGCUACGGUCUUGAGCGGGGACCGAACUCGGGGGCGUCCGGUCAGACCGGUUCGGGCCCCGGGAGCCAACGUGGAAGCCUCGUCCUUCGGGGACAGCGGUCCGCGGCGCGCGUCCGCAGGGACGCUCCGUCGCGGUUCGUCGGUGACACCGGGUCAGGCGCGGAAGCGAGCAGCCCACCGCUGGACGCCCGUCGCUCGAAGGAUCGCGGGGUGGAGGAGGCGACCGGGACUCCCCGGAUCGGAACGCCGGGCAAUCCCGCCGUCCGCAU